rnacentral:rRNA from 1 species
UACGUAGGGUGCAAGCGUUGUCCGGAAUUAUUGGGCGUAAAGAGCUCGUAGGUGGUUUGUCGCGUUGUCCGUGAAAACUCACAACUCAAUUGUGGGCGUGCGGGCGAUACGGGCAGACUGGAGUACUGCAGGGGAGACUGGAAUUCCUGGUGUAGCGGUGGAAUGCGCAGAUAUCAGGAGGAACACCGGUGGCGAAGGCGGGUCUCUGGGCAGUAACUGACGCUGAGGAGCGAAAGCGUGGGGAGCGAACAGG